GGGGAAUUUUGGACAAUGGGCGAAAGCCUGAUCCAGCAAUGCCGCGUGAAGGAUGAAGGUUUUCGGAUCGUAAACUUCUUUAGUCAGGGACGAAAAAAAUGACGGUACCUGAAGAAUAAGCCACGGCUAACUACGUGCCAGCAGCCGCGGUAAUACGUAGGCGGCAAGCGUUGUCCGGAAUUACUGGGUGUAAAGGGCGUGUAGGCGGGAAUGUAAGUCAGAUGUGAAAUCCCAGGGCUUAACCCUGGAGCUGCAUCUGAAACUAUGUUUCUUGAGUGCCGGAGAGGAAAGCGGAAUUCCUAGUGUAGCGGUGAAAUGCGUAGAUAUUAGGAGGAACACCAGUGGCGAAGGCGGCUUUCUGGACGGUAACUGACGCUGAGGCGCGAAAGCGUGGGGAGCAAAC
rnacentral:rRNA from 1 species